AUUGAACGCUGGCGGCAGGCUUAACACAUGCAAGUCGAGCGGAGAUGAGGUGCUUGCACCUUAUCUUAGCGGCGGACGGGUGAGUAAUGCUUAGGAAUCUGCCUAUUAGUGGGGGACAACAUUCCGAAAGGAAUGCUAAUACCGCAUACGUCCUACGGGAGAAAGCAGGGGAUCUUCGGACCUUGCACUAAUAGAUGAGCCUAAGUCGGAUUAGCUAGUUGGUGGGGUAAAGGCCUACCAAGGCGACGAUCUGUAGCGGGUCUGAGAGGAUGAUCCGCCACACUGGGACUGAGACACGGCCCAGAAUCCUACGGGAGGCAGCAGUGGGGAAUAUUGGACAAGGGGGGAAACCCUGAUCCAGCCAUGCCGCGUGUGUGAAGAAGGCCUUAUGGUUGUAAAGCACUUUAAGCGAGGAGGAGGCUACUGAGACUAAUACUCUUGGAUAGUGGACGUUACUCGCAGAAUAAGCACCGGCUAACUCUGUGCCAGCAGCCGCGGUAA
rnacentral:rRNA from 1 species